AAAAGAUUAGUACCGUUUAUUCAGAGAACGUUCUAAAGUCCAUUAUACAAAGUCAUCCAUUUUAUAGCUGCGCACAAACAGUAGGUAUCCUACGCACAUACUUCCACACAAACAGUAGGUAUCCUACGCACAUACUUCCACACAAACAGUAGGUAUCCUACGCACAUACUUCCACACAAACAGUAGGUAUCCUACGCACAUACUUCCACACAAACAGUAGGUAUCCUACGCACAUACUUCCACACAAACAGUAGGUAUCCUACGCACAUACUUCCACACAAACAGUAGGUAUCCUACGCACAUACUUCCACACAAACAGUAGGUAUCCUACGCACAUACUUCCACACAAACAGUAGGUAUCCUACGCACAUACUUCCACACAAACAGUAGGUAUCCUACGCACAUACUUCCACACAAACAGUAGGUAUCCUACGCGCACAUACUUCCACACAAACAGUAGGUGAGUUUUAUCCUUCUCCAUAGUUCUCACCACUGUGUAUCACUACCCAGCCGACAGUUCCAUUCCCCCGAGAUUAGGGAAACCUUGAGAAGUACUCCCUAUGCCCUCAUAAAUUCCGCAGAGGCCUAGCCAGGUCGGUCCAAACACACUUUAACUGUUAUCAUUUUUUUUCUUCGGCACACACAUACAAGUUCAAAUCCUAAACUACGCCUUGCCCAGACAGCCUGUGUUUUUCCACUAUACAGAUACAUUGUUUAAUCUAAUUCUGAUUUAAAACUACACACAUUAUCAGACUAUAAUUUUAUGAUUCUAAUCAAUUUCAUACAAUUAUAUAAGGUUUCAGAGUGGAAUUAUUUUAUCAUUAUCUUU